rnacentral:rRNA from 1 species
CCUGGCGGCCUUAGCGCGGUGGUCCCACCUGACCCCAUGCCGAACUCAGAAGUGAAACGCCGUAGCGCCGAUGGUAGUGUGGGGUCUCCCCAUGCGAGAGUAGGGAACUGCCAGAU